AUGAAGCUCUCGUUCGUCACUGCCAUAUCGGCACUAGUGCUGCUAGCCGCACAGCAUGCCUCCCUCGCCGCCGCCGGCAGAGGCCCCAGGGUCAUCAUAGUCGGCGCCGGCAUGUCCGAAUUUCUGGUGGUAACGCCCGACGACUGGCGCGUGGCGUGCAGCAUGAGGAGACCCUGCAACAAGCCAUGCUUGCCCGGAUGGGCGGAGAUCGAGCAGGAGUGGAUUCUGUGGUGCACCAGGAUGAGGGUGCCCACGAAUCUUACCUUGUCACGGCCGGCUCUCCUCUCUCCCUCCGCGUUAUGCAUUGGUAGCUUUGUUGGAUUGGCAACGCCGGUGAAGUUCGAUAUUGGAGAUCAAUUGGCGUGGAUCUUGAAGCAUGUGCUUGACACGUCAUGUUUCUCGUUCGUUCGUUCCAGGAACUCCUCGGCCCGAACGAACGCCUUAUCCUCUCCACCGUCACUUUUUCCUUCUGGGCUUCUUUUCCCCAUCCCCAUCAUCUUCACUGAGAGAGAGAGAGAGUCGAGCUGGAGCAGCCGCGCCUUGCCGCCACUCACCGGUGAGGCCUCGCAGCGCCCCGUCGGUGGCUUAGAUUUCGGGGAGGCGCUCGAGGGGAGCGACGGCGGCGGAGACCUGGGAGGCGGCGGAGGUGCUGCUCGCAGGAAGUGGCGGUGGCGGCGGCUGCCACACCAGCGGAGCUGUCCAAUGCCACAGCAGGGCAAGCGGGGAGCGACGCCGGCGGCGACCUGGGAGGCAGCAGAGGUGCUGCUAGCAGGGAGCGGCGGCGGCGGCGACCGACCCUCCAGUGGAGCUAUUCAACGCCGCAGCGGGGCCCUACAACGGCUUCGGCACGUGGACUUCUACCUCGGCGCCGUCUUCGGCAGCAUCGAUACGGGGAUGGUGGUGGCUAUGCUCAUCUCAGUGUUGCAGGUGCGGCUCUUCUUGGCGCGGCCGAGGACGAUGGUCAUGGGCAACGUGCCAGAGACGCCCAUCUACCGGUGGAUGGACCAGUACACGACGUGCUCGACGGCACCCUUCGCGAGAAGAUCACCCGGUGGAUUGACGACGACGACGAACGAACCUCGUCCUCAACAUGUGUGGUACGUUACAACAACUUGGUCUCAAAUUUUGCCCACAUCUGAGCAUCUCAAGCAGAGCAUGUCUGAAACGUGCCUUUCUGGACAGAGCGAUUGGCAGCAUCGACACCAGUGGUACGAGUAUGCAUUUUGA
rnacentral:rRNA from 1 species